rnacentral:rRNA from 1 species
GAUGAACGCUGGCUACAGGCUUAACACAUGCAAGUCGAGGGGAAACGCCGGGGAAGCUUGCUUCCCCGGGCGUCGACCGGCGCACGGGUGAGUAACGCGUAUCCAACCUGCCUCUGACUGAGGGAUAACCCGUCGAAAGUCGGCCUAAUACCUCAUGGUAUCGUCUGCGGGCAUCCAACGACGAUUAAAGAUUUCAUCGGUCAGGGAUGGGGAUGCGUCUGAUUAGCUUGUUGGCGGGGUAACGGCCCACCAAGGCUACGAUCAGUAGGGGUUCUGAGAGGAAGGUCCCCCACAUUGGAACUGGGAAACGGUCCAAACUCCUACGGGAGGCAGCAGUGAGGAAUAUUGGUCAAUGGGCGAGAGCCUGAACCAGCCAAGUAGCGUGCAGGAAGACGGCCCUAUGGGUUGUAAACUGCUUUUAUGCGGGGGUAAAGUGAGGGACGGGUCCCUCAUUGCAGGUACCGCAUGAAUAAGGACCGGCUAAUUCCGUG